rnacentral:rRNA from 1 species
GAUGAACGCUGGCGGCGUGCCUAAUACAUGCAAGUCGAGCGAACGGACGAGAAGCUUGCUUCUCUGAUGUUAGCGGCGGACGGGUGAGUAACACGUGGAUAACCUACCUAUAAGACUGGGAUAACUUCGGGAAACCGGAGCUAAUACCGGAUGAUAUUUUGAACCGCAUGGUUCAAAAGUGAAAGACGGUCUUGCUGUCACUUAUAGAUGGAUCCGCGCUGCAUUAGCUAGUUGGUAAGGUAACGGCUUACCAAGGCAACGAUGCAUAGCCGACCUGAGAGGGUGAUCGGCCCCACUGGAACUGAGACACGGUCCGGCCUCCAAGGGGGGGCAGCAGGAGGGAAUCUUCCGCAAUGGGCGAAAGCCUGACGGAGCAACGCCGCGGGGGUGAUGAAGGUCUUCGGAUCGUAAAACUCUGUUAUUAGGGAAAAACAUAUGUGUAAGUAACUGUGCACAUUUUGACGGUACCAAAUCAGAAAGCCACGGCAAACUACGU